GGCGUGCGUAACACAUGCAAGUCGAACGAGAGAGUGAGAGAGCUUGCUUUUCUUACGAUCGAGUGGCAAACGGGUGAGUAACGCGUAAACAACCUGCCCCGCAGAUGGGGACAACAGCUGGAAACGGCUGCUAAUACCGAAUACGGUCCUCUUAGCGCAUGGUAAGAGGAAGAAAGGGUGGCCUCUGGAACAAGCUACCGCUGUGGGAGGGGUUUGCGUCUGAUUAGCUGGUUGGAGGGGUAACGGCCCACCAAGGCGACGAUCAGUAGCCGGUCUGAGAGGAUGAACGGCCACAUUGGAACUGAGACACGGUCCAGACUCCUACGGGAGGCAGCAGUGGGGAAUCUUCCGCAAUGGGCGAAAGCCUGACGGAGCAACGCCGCGUGAGUGAAGACGGCCUUCGGGUUGUAAAGCUCUGUUAUAGGGGACGAACGGCCGGGUAGCGAAUAGGUACCCGGCAUGACGGUACCGUAAGAGAAAGCCAC
rnacentral:rRNA from 1 species